rnacentral:rRNA from 1 species
GACGAACCGUGCGAACGUUGUUCGGAUUCACUGGGCUUAAAGGGCGCGUAGGCGGCUUGUCAAGUCAGGGGUGAAAUCUUUCGGCUCAACCGGAAAACGGCUCCUGAUACUGGCAGGCUUGAGGGAGGUAGGGGCAGAUGGAACUUCCGGUGGAGCGGUGAAAUGCGUUGAGAUCCAGAGGAACUCCGGUGGCGAAGGCGGCACGCUGGACCCCUUCUGACGCUGAGGCACGAAAGCCAGGGGAGCGAACGGG